GAUAAACGCUGGCGGCGUGCCUAAUACAUGCAAGUCGAGCGAACGGACGAGAAGCUUGCUUCUCUGAUGUUAGCGGCGGACGGGUGAGUAACACGUGGAUAACCUACCUAUAAGACUGGGAUAACUUCGGGAAACCGGAGCUAAUACCGGAUAAUAUUUUGAACCGCAUGGUUCAAAAGUGAAAGACGGUCUUGCUGUCACUUAUAGAUGGAUCCGCGCUGCAUUAGCUAGUUGGUAAGGUAACGGCUUACCAAGGCAACGAUGCAUAGCCGACCUGAGAGGGUGAUCGGCCACACUGGAACUGAGACACGGUCCAGACUCCUACGGGAGGCAGCAGUAGGGAAUCUUCCGCAAUGGGCGAAAGCCUGACGGAGCAACGCCGCGUGAGUGAUGAAGGUCUUCGGAUCGUAAAACUCUGUUAUUAGGGAAGAACAUAUGUGUAAGUAACUGUGCACAUCUUGACGGUACCUAAUCAGAAAGCCACGGCUAACUACGUGCCAGCAGCCGCGGUAAUACGUAGGUGGCAAGCGUUAUCCGGAAUUAUUGGGCGUAAAGCGCGCGUAGGCGGUUUUUUAGUCUGAUGUGAAAGCCCACGGCUCAACCGUGGAGGGUCAUUGGAAACUGGAAAACUUGAGUGCAGAAGAGGAAAGUGGAAUUCCACGUGUAGCGGUGAAGUGCACAGAGAUAUGGAGGAACACCAGUGGCGAAGGCGACUUUCUGGUCUGUAACUGACGCUGAUGUGCGAAAGCGUGGGGAUCAAACAGGAUUAGAUACCCUGGUAGUCCACGCCGUAAACGAUGAGUGCUAAGUGUUAGGGGGUUUCCGCCCCUUAGUGCUGCAGCUAACGCAUUAAGCACUCCGCCUGGGGAGUACGACCGCAAGGUUGAAACUCAAAGGAAUUGACGGGGACCCGCACAAGCGGUGGAGCAUGUGGUUUAAUUCGAAGCAACGCGAAGAACCUUACCAAAUCUUGACAUCCUUUGACAACUCUAGAGAUAGAGCCUUCCCCUUCGGGGGACAAAGUGACAGGUGGUGCAUGGUUGUCGUCAGCUCGUGUCGUGAGAUGUUGGGUUAAGUCCCGCAACGAGCGCAACCCUUAAGCUUAGUUGCCAUCAUUAAGUUGGGCACUCUAAGUUGACUGCCGGUGACAAACCGGAGGAAGGUGGGGAUGACGUCAAAUCAUCAUGCCCCUUAUGAUUUGGGCUACACACGUGCUACAAUGGACAAUACAAAGGGCAGCGAAACCGCGAGAUCAAGCAAAUCCCAUAAAGUUGUUCUCAGUUCGGAUUGUAGUCUGCAACUCGACUACAUGAAGCUGGAAUCGCUAGUAAUCGUAGAUCAGCAUGCUACGGUGAAUACGUUCCCGGGUCU
rnacentral:rRNA from 1 species